UACGAAGGGGGCGAGCGUUGUUCGGAAUCACUGGGCGUAAAGGGCGCGUAGGCGGCCCUCUUAGUCGCGUGUGAAAGCCCCGGGCUCAACCUGGGAACGGCGCGCGAAACGGGAGGGCUGGAGUUCGGGAGAGGAGAGUGGAAUUCCCAGUGUAGAGGUGAAAUUCGUAGAUAUUGGGAAGAACACCGGUGGCGAAGGCGGCUCUCUGGGCCUGCACUGACGCUCAUGCACGAAAGCGUGGGGAGCAAACAGG
rnacentral:rRNA from 1 species